UCUAAACUCAUCCAAAUACUUGAGACAAACGUAGUUCAGUGGCUCACAGGCGAAAGAUAAAAGAGAGAGAUAUAUAUGUAUAUAUAUUCCUUACAGCAGAUGAGAAGAAAGGCCCAGCUGCCAUUUCUUUAUAUUUUCCUUACCUCCAGCAAGCUUGACAUAAUAUAUGGUGACCUCCUUUUUCUCUCUCUCUCUCUCUCUCUCUCUCCUUUAGCCAGGUGCAGAAAGAACAAGCGAGAUUAAGCGGCAAAACCCUUGCUAGGGUUCGCUAAAGUUUGGAGUGGUGGGGGAGGGUGGUGAGGAUUGCACCCUAUAAGUGGCUGGUCUUGGACCUUGGCCAUUUGUUUACCUUUUAGGAAGGGAAUACUCCACCGAGGUCUACAAGUUUCUAUCACCUCACUUCCUGACCACCCCCAAACCUUUCACCUCUAUCUGCUUCUCUUUCUUUCUGAUCUCCAGAAAUUUGGCGAUGAAGGGUCUUGGAGAAGAACUUUAUGGGCUUCUUUUUCUCUGUGACCGACUGCCUCGGAGAAAAAGGAAGAGGAAUUGACUCCAUAUACUAACUCAUCUGUGAGAGUUGUAUCCGUUCGCUGUCUUCCGAGAGAGGAAGGAUGAUGUGAAGGAACGCAGGUGACAAGGGUUGUGCCUGGCUCCCUGUACGCCACACAUGUAGAUCGAUAUCUAUGGGGAGAUUGGCUACUGUGGGUGGCGUGCAAGGAGCCAAGCACGCCUUCUCUCUCUCUCUCUCUCUCUCGUGAUCUUUGUGUAGCAGAUCAUCGUAGGAAUUCUCUCUUGCAUGAUCGCUUUUGAUUUCCUUUGCAGCGAUAUCUUGAAGGAAUUAUAUAUGAUCAAAACAACUGCUAGUAUUCAUUGAACUUUGAAAAUGAGGAUUAAGAUUGCUGUCGGAUUGCCUGCUUUGAUUGUUUCUUAUGCAUAUUCCUAUGGUUGUAUGGUUUGAAGUAUUACACUAGUUCAAAUGCUUCAUCGAUCGAUUGGCUACUAUAAAUCCCACUAAUAAGCGUAGAUGAUUUCAUGGAACACCAUACUUGAAUCGACCAUGAGGGUAAAGCUUCUGUGAUUCUCAUUCUCCUCCUUCUCGUUAUUAAUUAAUUUAUAGUAAAUGGAACCGAUUGGUUUUGGUUGAGACCUCCAAAGAAUGCUUCCUACAAUUCUUCCCCCUUUUCCCUUUAUUUUACACCUGUUUUUGUUCGAAAUGAAUUCGACGGGAAAUCUAAUUCUCCUCUCCGAUGGAUAUAUGUGCUCAGAUGUGUCAGUUCUUUGAAUCACUUGAUGUGAUUUAUGAUGGCAUCUCUCUCGUAAUCGAUCAGGAAGGAUUAUUUAAACAUCCUCAACUUCUACAAACCAUAUCGUUUCUUGUCCUCCUCCUCAUCAUCAUCAUCAUCAUCUAACUCAUGUUAGUCUUCUCCAUUUCAAUUCUAUGAGCUUUUAUUCCCAAGAGGACAUCGAUCCGUAUGCUUCACUCAAAAUACUGACGUGGUUGCCUCCUUCCAAGCUUAUGUCUUCACUCGAAUACUAAUUUGCUGCUCUCAGUAUCUUUCAUAUCUUGAAAUGGAUCCGCUGACAAAUUUGAUCUAAGCUAAAGGCAGUACGUAGAAUUUAUGUAUGCGUAUGUAUAUCCAUUUCUGCUAGGUAUUUUAACAUGGAGGCUUUACUCUCUCUCUCUCUCUCUCUCUCUCUCUCACACACACACACACACACACACACAAACACAUUAAUCCCUAUUUCUUUGUUUCUUACGGCAUGUGACAGACCAGCAAUCAGUUCUCUCUCUGUCUCUCAGAGACACACACAAACACAGAUUAGUCCCUAGUUCUUUGUUCUUGCAGCAUGUCACAGAGACUCGUGAUCGGUUGAUCUCUCUCUCUUUUCUCUAAAGUUUCUGCAUUAUGGCAAAUGUGUACGGUGCUGCAAUUCUUCUUAAUGUAUCAUUGUUCCAUUCUCAGUUUGAUUUGACUACAAUCUCUCUCUCUCUCUCUCUUUCUCUCUUUGGAUCAAUUAAACCGAGCCAUGGGAGGGAGCUCGAGCAUUAAUUCCAAUGCCAAACACACCCUCUCCUCCAUCAAUCAAGUCACCGGUCAGGUAUAUACUUCCCACUUCGAGCAGUCCCCUAAAGCUUGAAGAUUCUCCAUGGACCGGGCAGAAGCCCCAAGUGUCGUGGCACAGUGAGAGGGUGUCAGCUUUCCAUCCUUCCGAGGAACCGAGCACUUUGGUUGUCCUCCGAAAAGGAAUUUUCAACAGCAGUGAAAGCAGCCCAUUGGCACACAUUCUCCGGAACCAAUGCAGGCAGCAGCUUUACCUUCUUCCCUGUCCCCAAUGCAUUUCUUCUUUAUACAUGUACCUCAUGCUGCUGCUGCUUCUGCUUUUGUACUAUCAAAUAGCAAGGCGGUCGUUCCUCAUCUUUUCCGCCCCGCCUUAAUCGUUCUUCUCAUUCGGUUGUUUCCUGUGAUUGCCAAACUGCACCCUUGCUGAUACUAAUAACAUCAAGAUGAUUUACUGCACGAGACUUUUACUGUCACACAGUAUCCGAGGAUGACGAGUAUAUAUUGUUUUGUGUCAACAACAUGAACUAAUCGAUCUUACUGUAACACUAAUGUUUUAUCUCCUCAAGUCUCCUGACUCAUACAUAUAUUGGGGAGUAUAUAUAUAUAUAUAUAUAUAUAUAUACAUGUGAGCUAUAAAGCAGUUUACUGGGAUAAAAAUAUCGGCCACAGCAUAGAGUUACAACAAGACAUGGUUCAGCUUAAACAUAGGUAUCUAUCUAUCUCUCGAGUAGAAGAAUGUUGUAGUUUCAUGGCUAUGGAUAAGUUGGUACUUUAUAAUAAUAUUCUCUUAUUAUUCUCCUUGUUUUAAGGUGACUCUUUUCAUUGUUUACAUAUUCUAGUUAACUGGCUCUGCAAAUUAUGGGUCUGAUUGAGUUGGUUUCUCUCUUGCUUUCGGAGGAGGAUUUGACUCCAAUUUCAAUUUUUUGUGGAGAUGAUGCCAAGGAUUCGACCCAAGUGUGAUUCCUUUUUUUUUUUUUUUUUUUUUUAUGUGAGGGAUUAACUUCCUCCACAAGUCCUUGGAAAAGAAGAAGAAGAAGAAGAAGAAGAAGAAGAAGAAGAAGAAGAAGAACAGGGUGAGUGAAGGGCACUAGUUAAAUAGUGGAGUUGUGGCACCGAGACACCGAGCAAGACAAAGUUAUGCUUUCAAAGUGACGACCACCGCAAAUCGAAGAUAUCGGAGGGAUGGAUCAAAACAGGGAGCAGCUUGGACAACAAAAAAAAGACAAAAUGAGCUUGGUCUUAGGCCUACUUGAAACAUGGACCGACGGACCUACUUAUGUUGGAAGAAGAAGAAGAAGAAGAAGAAGAAGAAGAAGAAGAAGAAGAAGAAGAAGAAGAAGAAGAGAAACACACACACACACACAAAAAAAGAAGGGAGCUUUUUAAAAGAUAGAUAAUCUCUCUCACAUGGAUUACUAAAAAGCAUCUUGAUGAUGUUCUUUAAUUUUAACUCAUUCAUAUUAUAUUUAUUAACCUUUUAUAAUAUAUAUUUUUCUUUC